UACGGAGGGGGCUAGCGUUGUUCGGAAUUACUGGGCGUAAAGCGUACGUAGGCGGCUUUGUAAGUUAGAGGUGAAAGCCCGGGGCUCAACUCCGGAAUUGCCUUUAAGACUGCAUCGCUUGAAUCAUGGAGAGGUGAGUGGAAUUCCGCGUGUAGAGGUGAAAUUCGUAGAUAUUCGGAAGAACGCCCGUGGCGAAGGCGACGCACUGGACAUGUAUUGACGCUGAGGUACGAAAGCGUGGGGAGCAAACAGG
rnacentral:rRNA from 1 species